AUUGAACGCUGGCGGCAGGCCUAACACAUGCAAGUCGAGCGGAUGAAGGGAGCUUGCUCCUGGAUUCAGCGGCGGACGGGUGAGUAAUGCCUAGGAAUCUGCCUGGUAGUGGGGGAUAACGUCCGGAAACGGGCGCUAAUACCGCAUACGUCCUGAGGGAGAAAGUGGGGGAUCUUCGGACCUCACGCUAUCAGAUGAGCCUAGGUCGGAUUAGCUAGUUGGUGGGGUAAAGGCCUACCAAGGCGACGAUCCGUAACUGGUCUGAGAGGAUGAUCAGUCACACUGGAACUGAGACACGGUCCAGACCCCUACGGGAGGCAGCAGUGGGGAAUAUUGGACAAUGGGCGAAAGCCUGAUCCAGCCAUGCCGCGUGUGUGAAGAAGGUCUUCGGAUUGUAAAGCACUUUAAGUGGGGAGGAAGGGCAGUAAGUUAAUACCUUGCUGUUUUGACGUUACCAACAGAAUAAGCACCGGCUAACUUCGUG
rnacentral:rRNA from 1 species